rnacentral:misc_RNA from 1 species
UGAAGGUGUCAACAAGUGCUCUUCCAUUGAUUGUUUAGGUAGACGAUUAGGACCAUCACUUUUAGGACGAACUGAUGAUACAGGGAAGCUGGUCAAGGAUUUUGUUAAGAUCCUCAAUCAAGUGAACACUGAAGAAGUGCCUGAUGGCCUGAAGCUCCCAGAGUCCUUUAGUCAACUUGUUGCUGAAAUGAAAAACAACAAGUACAGUGCAAAAGAAUUUGCUUUGGUUUUAAAGGGAAUGAUGGAGAAAUCUGAAAGAGAGAUUAGGGAAUCAAAGUUUGCAGAGCUGACAAAUAAACACUUUGCUGCAAGUGCAAUUCCCAAAGGCAUUCAUUGUCUUUCGCUGCGGUUGACUGAUGAGUACUCCACAAAUGCUCAUGCACGCAGACAGUUGCCUUCACCAGAGCUACUCCCUCUGCUAUCUGACAAUUCAUUGCAACACUUUGUAGUGGCCACUGACAACAUCCUGGCUGCCUCAGUUGUGGUCAAUUCUGCUGUGCAGUCAACUCUGAAGCCUGAAAAGAUUGUUUUCCAUGUCAUCACCGACAAGAAAACGUAUGCAGGCAUGCACUCAUGGUUUGCUCUGAAUCCUGUCACUCCAGCUCUUGUGGAGGUUAAAGGUGUUCAUCAGUUUGACUGGUUGACUAGAGAAAAUGUUCCCGUGCUUGAAGCAGUCGAGAGCCAUAAUGUUAUUCGUAAAUACUACCAUGGAAAUCAUGUUACAGGUGCCAAUCUCAGUGAUACAACUCCGCGAUCUUUUGCAUCAAAGUUGCAGGCUAGAAGUCCAAAGUAUAUCUCUUUGCUGAAUCAUCUUCGCAUAUAUUUGCCAGAGCUCUUCCCAAACCUUGACAAAGUGGUUUUCUUAGACGAUGAUAUUGUAAUUCAGAGAGAUUUAUCUCCAUUGUGGGACAUCGACCUUAGUGGUAAGGUCAAUGGAGCAGUUGAGACUUGUAAAGGUGAAGAUGAGUGGGUGAUGUCUAAGCGAUUCAGAAAUUACUUCAACUUUUCUCAUCCACUAAUAGCAAAGAAUUUGAAUCCGGAAAACUGUGCAUGGGCUUAUGGGAUGAAUAUCUUCGAUUUACGGGCAUGGAGGAAAACGAAUAUUACAAAUACCUAUCAUGCAUGGCUUAAAGAGAAUCUGAAGUCGAACUUGACAAUGUGGAAGCUUGGGACAUUACCUCCUGCUUUGAUUGCAUUCAAGGGUCAUGUUCACCCCAUUGACGCCUCGUGGCACAUGCUUGGCUUGGGAUAUCAGAGUAAGACCAAUAUCGACAAUGUGAAGAAGGCUGCCGUGAUUCAUUACAAUGGGCAGUCCAAACCUUGGCUCGAGAUAGGGUUUGAGCAUCUCCGUCCUUUUUGGACCAAGUUCGUUAAUAGCUCCAAUGAUUUUAUCAGUAAUUGCCACAUACUGGAGUAGUCUACAGAUUUUCCAUCAAGGAAAAAACACAGGAGAAUUUUGGAAGCCCACAGGCUUUGCAAACUUUUUAUUGGUUCUAGGGAAGUUCAACAACUCCCAUUGAUGAGAAGGAGAUUCUGACAAUUGCCCGGAUAUGUUCAGGUUUCCACAUUUGAUACUUUAAAAGAGAAGCAUGGGCAUAAGAUUCAUUCUUUCAAUAUGUAAAAUAGAAGUUGGUCACAUAAUUCUAUUGAUUGGACAAAGGACAAUAUUUUUGGCCUCUUAUACUCUCUAUUAUACUAUAGCUUAAGAGGCAAUGAUAGUGCAUCCCAGGAAAUGCUCAUCAUUGCCAUCAUCAGUCAUACAAAUUGGUGAAUUUGCGAGAAGAAAAGCUAGGCGUUGCGCCCUGUUAGCUGCAGAGAUCAUUUUUCCUUGUUAAUUUUGUUGUCAUUACUUCAUUCAAUCAUAUUAGACUGUUUUAGGCUAUGAAACUUGCAUCACAUAGUUGGAUAAACCCGUAGAUUAUUACAUUUGCUACUUGUUUUGUAUGAUUCAA